rnacentral:tRNA from 1 species
GCAUUGGUGGUGUAACGGUUAGCAUGGUUGCCUUCCAAGCAGUCGAUCCUGGUUCAACUCCCGGCCAAUGCA